AACAAGGUUUCCGUAGGUGAACCUGCGGAAGGAUCAUUAUCGAGUUUUGAACGGGUUGUCUGCUGGCUCGCAAGGGCAUGUGCACGCCUGUCUCAUCCACUCUCAACUUCUGUGCACUUUUCAUAGGCCGGCUUGUGGGUGCGUUCGCGCACUUGUAGGUGUCGGGCUUAUGCUUUAUUACAAACGAUUCAGUUUUAGAAUGUCAUACUUUGCUAUAACGCAAUUUAUAUACAACUUUCAGCAACGGAUCUCUUGGCUCUCGCAUCGAUGAAGAACGCAGCGAAAUGGCGAUAAGUAAUGUGAAUUGCAGAAUUCAGUGAAUCAUCGAAUCUUUGAACGCACCUUGCGCUCCUUGGUAUUCCGAGGAGCAUGCCUGUUUGAGUCUCAUGGAAUUCUCAACCUUCAGCUUUAUUGAUGAAGGCUUGGACUUGGAGGUCGUGCCGGCUCUCGUAGUCGGCUCCUCUGAAAUGCAUUAGUGCGAACGUUACCAGCCGCUUCAGCGUGAUAAUUAUCUGCGUUGCUGUGGAGGGUAUUCUAGUGUUCACGCUUCUAACCGUCUUCGGACAAAUUUCUGAACUCUGAGCUCAAAUCAGGUAGGACUACCCGCUGAACUUAAGCAUAUCAAUAAGCGGAGGAAAAGAAACUAACAAGGAUUCCCCUAGUAACUGCGAGUGAAGCGGGAAAAGCUCAAAUUUAAAAUCUGGCGGUCUUCGGCCGUCCGAGUUGUAAUCUGGAGAAGCGUUUUCCGCGCUGGACCGUGUACAAGUCUCUUGGAACAGAGCGUCAUAGAGGGUGAGAAUCCCGUCUUUGACACGGACUACCAGUGCUAUGUGAUGCGCUCUCGAUGAGUCGAGUUGUUUGGGAAUGCAGCUCAAAAUGGGUGGUAAAUUCCAUCUAAAGCUA
rnacentral:rRNA from 1 species